AGGACGAACGCUGGCGGCGUGCCUAAUACAUGCAAGUCGAACGGUCUUUUCUAUGGAAGCUUGCUUCCACUGAGAAGAUAGUGGCGAACGGGUGAGUAACACGUGGGUAACCUGCCCAUAAGAGGGGGGAUAACAUCCGGAAACGGGUGCUAAUACCGCAUAGUUUUCUUGAUCGCAUGAUUGAGAAAGGAAAGACGGCCUUUGUGCUGUCGCUUAUGGAUGGACCCGCGGCGUAUUAGUUAGUUGGUGAGGUAACGGCUCACCAAGACGAUGAUACGUAGCCGACCUGAGAGGGUGAUCGGCCACAUUGGGACUGAGACACGGCCCAAACUCCUACGGGAGGCAGCAGUAGGGAAUCUUCCGCAAUGGACGAAAGUCUGACGGAGCAACGCCGCGUGAGUGAAGAAAGGUUUUCGGAUCGUAAAACUCUGUUGUCAGAGAAGAACAAGUUGGAGAGUAACUGCUCCAGCCUUGACGGUAUCUGACCAGAAAGCCACGGCUAACUACGUGCCAGCCGCUGC
rnacentral:rRNA from 1 species